CAGCCGCCACGGUAAUACAGAGGGUGCAAGCGUUAAUCGGAUUUACUGGGCGUAAAGCGUGCGUAGGUGGCUGUUUAAGUCGGAUGUGAAAGCCCUGGGCUUAACCUGGGAACUGCAUUCGAUACUGGAUAGCUAGAGAUCGGUAGAGGGCAGCGGAAUUCCGGGUGUAGCGGUGAAAUGCGUAGAUAUCCGGAGGAACACCGAUGGCGAAGGCAACUGCCUGGGCCUGAUCUGACACUGAGGCACGAAAGCGUGGGUAGCAAACAGGAUUAGAUACCCGGGUAGUCCCUGUCUCUUAUAC
rnacentral:rRNA from 1 species